GCGCUGCCAUUUUUUACCAACAAACCAAUCACCAAGAUAUUUCAUAGCUUACAAACUUCAACUCAAUCAAACUCCAUAUUAUAUUUCUUCCCUUUUUUCAAUCCGAAGAAGAAAACCAAAAUAAUCAAAUGAAUUUUGCACUGAUUCCAUCAGCUUCUAAAUUCCCUAAUUUUUCAUCACCCAUCAUCAAAAAAACGCUUCAUCCAUCUAAAAUUGUGAAACGUUUCGUCUUCCGGCGAUCUCGAAUCGUUUCUUUGAGCUCAACAUCUCCAGAUUCGAUACCAACGAUUUCUACCCCCGAUUCCCAAAACCCUAAUUUCAGUAAUGAUCCCCUCGCUAGCCCUAACGGAAAGCCUCUUUCUAAAUUUGUUCAAUCAGCUGAGUCUUCAAUCGAAAGGAUAAUAUUUGACUUCCGCUUCUUGGCACUUCUUGCUAUUGGAGGGUCGCUGGCUGGCUCAGUGAUAUGUUUCAUGAAUGGUUGUGUUUAUGUUUUUGAUGCAUAUAAGAUUUAUUGGACAUCCUGUCUCAAAGGAGUUCACAGUGGACAGAUGGUUCUUCGAUUAGUUGAAGCUAUUGAUAUAUAUCUUGCUGGAACAGUUAUGCUGGUAUUUGCUAUGGGUUUGUAUGGUCUAUUCAUUACUAAUACCUCUGCCAAUGUGAAUCCAAGUGAUGAUCGGGCCAUAAAAGGUUCAUCCUUAUUUGGAAUGUUUGCUCUGAAGAUGUACUGAAGCAGGUUGAGAUGGACGAGGGAAGAAACAUAGGGAUAGAGUUCAACAUUAGAUAUACCUUUUCGUCUUUAGUUGCAACACUUCCCAUUUAUAGAAGUUCAAUAUUAAUUAACUACAAAAUUUAGCAAAUUUGGCUUAAAGCUCUUGUAUCACCUGUGACAUAGAGUCCUUAUUAUCUCUCUCCACUUCACAUAAAUUUCUUAAGAAGUGUGCCCAAGUUCAGUGUUGCAAUGAAAACAAUUCGGAUGAAGUAUAUCAGAGCAUAUCUAUCCCCAAUAAUAACUAAAUAUCUUACCAAAAGUCCUUUUUGCAGAAUAAUUAGGAAAAGCAUGUGCCAAUAUAUUAGGUUUUGUUCUUGUCUAUAAAAGAUAAUUGCAGUUUGCAGGAAAAUUUAGAUCAAACAAGUUAAAGACUAGACUGUAGAAGCCAGUAAAUUCUAAAAAAGUAGUAAUAGUUUUGAUUGAGAGCCAACAAGUUCAUAUAAGGGGUAUUGGCAUUCAUUUAAUAGCUUAAAUUGGUUCAGAUUUGGUUAAUAAGUUUUGUUAAGGUGGAUUUAAGUGUAAAGAACAAAGCCAUACACAUUGAAUCCAGCUCCAGAGUUAUCUACAUACCAAGUGAGGAAAAGACAGGAAUGCCCUUAUAAAGAGAACAAACUACUUAUUCACUAAUGAAAGGCCUAGGUGGAUGAAAAUUAGCUCCCUUGAUGAACUAAAAACGAAAGUGGGGCACGUUAUUGUGAUGAUUCUCAUAGUAAAGAUGUUUGAGAGGAGCAAGAUGGUGACAAUAGCCACAGGGUUGGAUUUGUUGAGCUAUGCUGUCUGUAUUUUCUUGUCGUCUGCUUCGUUAUAUAUCCUUAAUUUACUGCACAAAUCAGAUGAAAAUGGUCAUGAUGUUACUGCU